rnacentral:pre_miRNA from 1 species
UUCUAUUUGGAUGUUAACGGUCAUGUGUUACACGUUUAUUAGAUGUUAAUUUUAUACAUCUAAUUAAAAUCAACUUUCAAUAAAAUUGUAACAAGUGACGAUCAACGUUC